GUGGUUUUCAACCUUUUCUCAUUUGCCGACUCCUAAAAAAUUUCAAAUGGAGGUGCGGACCCCUUUGGAAAUGUUACAGGUUCAAAACCACUGCUCUAGAAACAUGUAGGAGCAGCAUGUGUGCUCCCUUGUGAAACCUGAAGUUUGCACCUAGGGUUAUGGGGGGAAGCAGGAAUAGAAGGUGGGUAGCCUGGAUCUAUAUUAACAAUCUAGCCCAACAAAUGAAGGUUACUUAACUGUAACUGGAGGUUCUUUGAGAUGUGGGGUCCCUAUUUGUAUUCCACAUGCAGGUAUGCAUGAACACCAUGCACUUGAGACUGGUAAAGCCUUCCAAGUAGCAUGCCUUGGUCCACCCCUGUGCCCUGGUUCUCCUUGGGCUCUACACUGAGGGCAUAAGGGGAGGCAUAAACCAGUCACCUCUGAAGUUCCUUCUCUACCCCACAAAUCCAGGUAUGAUUCAAAGCAGAGGGAAAGGAGAGCGGGUAGUGGAACACAGAGAGGGACCACACAUCUCAGAGGACCUCUAGUUACAGGUUGAACACUAGUGCUUGCUCUCACAUUGAAAGAAUGAAGUCUCCUCUCCAAAAGAAUGAGGCUUCAGUAAGAAUAUGGGUAAGUGAAUUGGUUUAUGUGUAACUCAGAAAUUACCUUCAGAAUGAAUUUUGGGUGGAGGCCAAGGGGUAACUCUUUAUGAAAUUAGUCACUGGGACAGGUUGACCCCAAGUGACCCCAAGCUCACCUCUCCCUAUUUGGCUGACAUAAUGGCAACCUGGAAGGCAACUUUCAUAGAUAGAUGGAACAUCAAGCACAGGGCCAACAGUUAGAAAGAUGGCCCAGUAAGUGAUGAAAGUAGGAGACUGAAGUAGUAAGUUCCCAGUCACACCCUUUAGAAAUCUGGUUGUUACCAGGACUAAAAAAUAGAACAGCCAUUACCAGAGGAUGAAAUGGACUAGUUUGGCUAGGUUGAUAUCCAAUGAGCUAACAGAGAAACCAUAUGUCUUCAGAGUGAGGAGGUAGUCUAAAACUGCAGAAAUACCUGCUGACCCUGAUUACUGAUUCUGUUGCACCCACACAGAGAAGGGUGAUCUUAAGGUGUUGCUGCUUGGAUCUUUCCAUGGCUGCUUGUUCUACUAGGAAUUGGGGGCAGGGUGCGAGAACAAGAAUACUGCCCCUUUUACAGACACAAAAUAAUGUUUUUCAACCCUUUUAGGGGUAGGAGUACAUAUUGCCAGUGUAUGUCUAGCUGGUUCCAUAACAGCUUCAUUCACCUAGAGAGCUACCCUGUUGGGUUCUGCGGACUGCAGAUAUCCAAGAGCUUCCGCUGCGUAUCUUGGACUUCUAAUAGAACGUGAAGUUCUACCACCACCCUCUGCAAGAGUUCUUAAUAUUGCCUAUGGUAAUCUGGUACCAGCUCAUCAUCUUCCUCCUCCAUGUACUCCUAUGGAGUUGAGUGCCAUUGUCUAGGAGGAGAGGGAUUAUGUGACUAUCUAGUACAGCACAUGUAUUUAAGGAGUGUGCAUAAGGAUCCUCUGGAUACCAACAGGGCCAGUAAGAAGGAUCAAAGCUAGUUCAGGGCCCCCCCCCAAGGCACUGGGUUCCAGCAAUCUCCUGGAGGGUAACCCUGCUUGGGCAGAGGACAGGUAAAAGAAAUAUCCUGGGGGGGAGGGGGGGGGGAGGGGGAUGGUUUAUCUUAGACAUCCAGCCUUCCCAUUGGCUGAAUCCUGCUUUAAUCAGUGGUACCGUCAAAGCUGGUGAGAGGAAGCCCCAGCUCAGAUGGAUUAGGAAAGUAAUUCCUUCUCCUUGAGGUUGUAUCCUCUUCUGGGGUUUCCCUGAGAAGGACUGGGCACAAAAGCAGAAGAGAUUGUGGGUCCAGGAGUGCAAAGAUACCCUCUGGGAUAGUAUAUGCCUCAGCCAAUCCAGGUGUACAAGGAUCCCAGUUGUUGGAUCUGUCAGAUUCCAUGCCAUGUCAGACUUACUGGUCGGUGGUCUUUACAGGUUCAGUCCAGUACCAAGGUGAAAGAGAGAGUACCUCAUUCGGAGCUCUUGGUUGUUACAGUUGUCAGUCCUUCAGCUUGUUAGAGGUCAUGGCCAUCACUGGUGUUUGUUACCAAGGAAUGAAGACAAUGAGAGGAUAGUUCCAGACACAGAAUUCCAACUCAGUUCCUCCUUGCCACCGCAUGCCCUGAAGAGGGAGCCACUCCACACCUCCUCUUAUACCCUCUGUGCAGAGCAUGAGAAAAACCAGAGCACAGGGAUGGACCAACAGAUGCUACUUGCAAGAUUUUCCAGUCUCAUGCACAUGUAGGCAAGUACCCUUUUUCCUCAGAGUACUAUCAAUAGAACAACCUCACAAAGUUCAAUAUCAGAAGCAAGUUCCCCACAUAGCAGGAGACAAUUCAAAGUGGCAUCGAACCCUGCUAGAACAGAUGCAAAACCUGCAGACAUAUCUACUGUUACAAUGAUCAAUACUGCCCCACAAGAUACCUUUCAAGAUUACAUGCUUAUCACAACUUAUGGCAUACCUCAUCCAGUGCACCAAAUGCCCCAACAACUAUGUGGGUGAAACCAGACAAUCACUAUGCUCUUCAAUGAACUCACACAGAAAAAUGAUAAAAGGCAAAAACCACUAUCACUGGUGGGUGGACACUUUUCAAAGCAAUCACUCCAUACCUAAUCUUUCAAUACUUCUCAGGGGAAACCUGCAGAACACUUUCAAAAAACAAGCCUGGGAACUUGAAUUCAUAGCUCUGCUAGACACAAGAAAACAUGGAUUUAACAAGGACACUGGUCUUAUGGCUCAUUACAAUAAUUUAACAGACCACACCAUCUGCUAUCCCUUAAUUAUCCACUUCAAACCCUUUACGGAUAACAAUCUAACCCCCGAUUACCCACUUCAUUUCAAGUGACCAACUCCAAAACCUUGCGCCUUCUGUUUAUCAAUCUGUCCCAACCUGUAUUUAUUAGCUCAGGCAUACUGCUUCCUUCCCUUGUCCUGAAAGAGAGCUCUGUGGCUCGAAAGCUUGUACCUUCCAACAAGCACUACAGUUAAAAAUAAGAAUCUGGCUAGGAUACCAAGAUAAACCUCUUUAAUCCUUGUAAAAAGAAAAACUGGUUAUUUAAUGACCUCCAAUUGAUCAAUGCUUUAUGCUCAAACAAUGCUGGUGGGGAACUCAAAAAAAAAAAUAUUAAGGGAAUACCACCAUCAGAUGAAUCACUACCACCACUGCUAAGGCUGUUGAUUAAUUGCAAUUUCACGAUUAACUCAAAUUAAUCGUGAUUAAUUGCAGGUUUUAAUCACACUGUUAAAUAAUAGAAUACCAAUUGAAAUAUAAUACAUAUUUUUGCAU